GGAAUGUGGCUCAAGUGGUAGUGUGCUCACCUAGCAUAGGUGAGGCACUGGGUUCGAUUCUCAGCACCA
rnacentral:tRNA from 1 species